rnacentral:misc_RNA from 1 species
AGCAUCAACCCCGUCGGGAGACCGCUCGGUUGGAUUUGGGUGUCUGCCGUUCCGCGGCUCGCCUUAAAAGCAUUAGCGACGUCGGCUCCGGACUCUUGCGAAUUAGGUUACGCUUGAGGCCGUUGUGCGACCCGCUCACAGUCUGCCCUCGGGCACUUCAUUCG